rnacentral:misc_RNA from 1 species
UACAACUUUGUAAAGGUGUUGGCAACAACCCUCAUUGGUCUGCACCGUCAGCUAAAGAAGAAAGAUGUAAUUCCAGUCUCAGAUGGUUCGCCUACUUCAACCUCCGACGUAUCUUUCGAUGACAAACGAAGGACUCAACUCUUCCUCAAAGAUCAGAUUCCCUCAUGGUUUGCCAUUGCAGGUUAUGUUGCGAUUGCAGCCGUAUCUGUAGCCACUUUGCCACACAUCUUUUCGCAGCUGAAAUGGUAUUACAUACUUGUCAUCUACGUGAUUG